AUUGAACGCUGGCGGCAGGCCUAACACAUGCAAGUCGAGCGGAUGAAGGGAGCUUGCUCCUGGAUUCAGCGGCGGACGGGUGGGUAAUGCCUAGGAAUCUGCCUGGUAGUGGGGGAUAACGUCCGGAAACGGGCGCUAAUACCGCAUACGUCCUGAGGGAGAAAGUGGGGGAUCUUCGGACCUCACGCUAUCAGAUGAGCCUAGGUCGGAUUAGCUAGUUGGUGGGGUAAAGGCCUACCAAGGCGACGAUCCGUAACUGGUCUGAGAGGAUGAUCAGUCACACUGGAACUGAGACACGGUCCAGACUCCUACGGGAGGCAGCAGUGGGGAAUAUUGGACAAUGGGCGAAAGCCUGAUCCAGCCAUGCCGCGUGUGUGAAGAAGGUCUUCGGAUUGUAAAGCACUUUAAGUUGGGAGGAAGGGCAGUAAGUUAAUACCUUGCCGUUUUGACGUUACCAACAGAAUAAGCACCGGCUAACUUCGUG
rnacentral:rRNA from 1 species